GCAAACCUGGAACUACUAUAGGAUUAAAAAAUGGACGUAUGAGAUUUGUCCAUAUCAUCAUGAGUAAUAAUUUCAAUAUCAGUAAAACUUUUACUCCCAAAUUUGGGAGUAAAAGUUUUACUGAGAGUGAUGUGGAUAAAUCUCAGACGUUCAUUUUUUAUUCUACGGUAGUUUGUCGGUUUGC
rnacentral:pre_miRNA from 1 species